rnacentral:snRNA from 1 species
UUGGAGUGCGACGAACUAUAGCAGAAUCCAUUUCUUGCCUUUUACCAGAGAUGGCCGUGGUUACGCGCAACAAACUCCAUUCAAACAAUCUUUGGACACUUAUUGACCGCUCUUGCGGUUU